rnacentral:rRNA from 1 species
UACGUAGGGUGCGAGCGUUGUCCGGAAUUAUUGGGCGUAAAGCGUCUGUAGGUGGCUUUUUAAGUCCGCCGUCAAAUCCCAGGGCUCAACCCUGGACAGGCGGUGGAAACUACCAAGCUGGAGUACGGUAGGGGGCAGAGGGAAUUUUCCGGUGAGACGGUGAAAUGCGUAGAGAUCGGAAAGAACACCAACGGCGAAAGCACUCUGCUGGGCCGACACUGACACUGAGAGACGGAAAGCUAGGGGGAGCGAAU